rnacentral:rRNA from 1 species
UGCGAAAGCGUGGGAGCAAACGGGAUUAGAUACCCCGGUAGUCACGCCGUAAACGAUGUCUACUAGCCGUUGGAGGACUUGAUCCUUUAGUGGCGCAGCUAACGCGAUAAGUAGACCGCCUGGGGAGUACGGUCGCAAGAUUAAAACUCAAAUGAAUUGACGGGGGCCCGCACAAGCGGUGGAGCAUGUGGUUUAAUUCGAAGCAACGCGAAGAACCUUACCUACUCUUGACAUCCAGUGAACUUUUGAGAGAUCAAUUGGUGCCUUCGGGAACACUGAGACAGGUGCUGCAUGGCUGUCGUCAGCUCGUGUUGUGAAAUGUUGGGUUAAGUCCCGUAACGAGCGCAACCCUUGUCCUUAGUUACCAUCAUUAAGUUGGGGACUCUAAGGAGACUGCCGGUGACAAACCGGAGGAAGGCGGGGACGACGUCAAGUCAUCAUGGCCCUUACGAGUAGGGCUACACACGUGCUACAAUGGCAUGUACAAAGGGUUGCCAAGCCGCGAGGUGGAGCUAAUCCCAUAAAGCAUGUCGUAGUCCGGAUUGGAGUCUGCAACUCGACUCCAUGAAGUCGGAAUCGCUAGUAAUCGUGAAUCAGAAUGUCACGGUGAAUACGUUCCCGGGCCUUGUACACACCGCCCGUCACACCAUGGGAGUGGGUUGCUCCAGAAGUAGAUAGCUUAACCUUCGGGAGGGCGUUUACCACGGAGUGAUUCAUGACUGGGGUGAAGUCGUAACAAGGUAACCGU